CCUAUCUAUCAUCUUCAGAACAGCCUGCAGAUAUGCUUACCAAGGCACUUGGAAAAGGCCAUCAUAAGUAUUUAAUGUCCAAGCUAGGAAUGAAGAACAUCUUCAUAGCUCCUAGCUUGAAGGGGGGGUGUAAAAGAACUAACUAAAUGUGUACAAGUUCCCUAGCAUUACUAAUUGUAAUUAAACAUUGUUAAGAGUGUAAAUAUAGUUAGUUAGUUAGUUAGUUAGUUUGUUAGCAAAGGUCAGUAAAUUAGUUGGGGUUUUGAGUCAUUAUAUAUGCUUGUAAGUAGCAUUAGUACGGUUAAGUUUCAAUAUCAGAUUUUUCCUCCUCUUCCUCAUUGCUUCUCUGUUCUUCCUUUUACUCUUCAAUGGAGUUUUCUUUCUCCAAUUCAGUUUCUUAACAUUCGAUUUUCGGAUAAGACUUGGAUUCUGAAUUCGAAAUGGGCCUAGGGAUGAUCCAAAUUUUAUCCAUCUUUCCCCAAGUUUGGAACCCUUUAUAUAUAUUCUCUCUAGCGUUCAAACCAGGGGUAGGAGACUCUGGGAGAAAGAUUUAGGAGUUGACUUUUUUUUUUUAGUUGGUAAUUUCUCGUUCUAAAUAGAAAAAGCAGAGAGAUUUUUGUGAAAAGGAAAUCUUGGAGAAGGAUUUCUUUUCGGAUUUUUUUUUUUUUUGAAAAAAAAAGAUAUUGAAGAAAGGUUUUCUUAUUUUGCUCGUGUUUGUGUUCGUGUGUUGGUGAAUUGGUCUCUUGCUCGUCGCUGUCUCCAAGUUCGCUGCCUACAACAAGAGGAAGACCACCAUCUCUAUCCGGAUCAUAGCUUCAUUCGUUCGUUGAACCGGCAAGGGCAAGCGAUAGAAAAGUCCCUCGCGCGAACUACUACUACUAGAAAAUGGUGAGACCAUUAGUGAAAGAAGGACCAAACCAAGGAGGAUCCUAUCCUAAAGGAGAAGGAGGAGUUGGAGGAGUCAGUUUUCUUUGAAGAUCGAGGAACGUAGUGUCGGACAAUUAUGCCAUUCGGAAGAAGUCUUCUACAGAAGAAAAGCCUGUUACGACAUCUUUCUUUUUUAUUCAGCUGUCUUUUUUAUGUCACUUCCAGUGAAGGUCGGGUAUGUGCCACUUAUACCAUCAGCAGAUGGAUUAAUUACCACUAGUUCCAUGCCACCCAGCAUCUGUCGCUACGCUGUUCCCAAGGACUAGCAAAAUCGAAAUAGCGAAAUUCUUGGGUCAUCUCAAUGGGUUCAGAAACCACACGUUUCUCUGGAUCAUCAUAGCGUACUUCCACAUAUCCACUCAGAGGAAGGUCUUUUCGUAAUGGAUGACCCUCGAAACCAUAAUCUGUUGAUAUACGGCGUAGAUCCGGAUGCGUGUAAAAACUCGUUUGAGUUCGCAUAAACUCUUACCUUCUUUUGUUGCAUUUCGGGAGAGCCAUGAAGGCUCAAAAUUCCUUUAUCAAGUCAAGACAUGAAAUUGACAUACAUGUCCCGAGUUGGAAGGAUCCAAACAAAUCAAGAAGUUGAAGAAAUUGGGCUAAAGAGUCCACAUAUUUUUUUAAA